AGUGAACGCUGGCGGUAGGCCUAACACAUGCAAGUCGAACGGCAGCACAGUAAGAGCUUGCUCUUACGGGUGGCGAGUGGCGGACGGGUGAGGAAUACAUCGGAAUCUACUUUUUCGUGGGGGAUAACGUAGGGAAACUUACGCUAAUACCGCAUACGACCUACGGGUGAAAGCAGUGGAUCUUCGGACCUUGCGCGAUUGAAUGAGCCGAUGUCGGAUUAGCUAGUUGGCGGGGUAAAGGCCCACCAAGGCGACGAUCCGUAGCUGGUCUGAGAGGAUGAUCAGCCACACUGGAACUGAGACACGGUCCAGACUCCUACGGGAGGCAGCAGUGGGGAAUAUUGGACAAUGGGCGAAAGCCUGAUCCAGCCAUACCGCGUGGGUGAAGAAGGCCUUCGGGUUGUAAAGCCCUUUUGUUGGGAAAGAAAAGCAGCAGGUUAAUCCCCCGCUGUUCUGACGGUACCCAAAGAAUAAGCACCGGCUAACUUCGUG
rnacentral:rRNA from 1 species